rnacentral:rRNA from 1 species
UACGUAGGGCGCGAGCGUUGUCCGGAAUUAUUGGGCGUAAAGGGCUCGUAGGCGGUCUGUCGCGUCGGGUGUGAAAACUCAGGGCUUAACCCUGAGCCUGCUUCCGAUACGGGCAGACUAGAGGUAUGCAGGGGAGAACGGAAUUCCUGGUGUAGCGGUGAAAUGCGCAGAUAUCAGGAGGAACACCGGUGGCGAAGGCGGUUCUCUGGGCAUUACCUGACGCUGAGGCGCGAAAGCGUGGGGAGCGAACAGG